UAUGGCGACCGGCGCACGGGUGAGUAACGCGUAUGCAACUUACCUAUCAGGAGGGGAUAGCCCGGCGAAAGUCGGAUUAAUACCCCAUAAAACAGGGGUCCCGCAUGGGAAUAUUUGUUAAAGAUUCAUCGCUGAUAGAUAGGCAUGCGUUCCAUUAGGCAGUUGGCGGGGUAACGGCCCACCAAACCGACGAUGGAUAGGGGUUCUGAGAGGAAGGUCCCCCACAUUGGUACUGAGACACGGACCAA
rnacentral:rRNA from 1 species